rnacentral:rRNA from 1 species
UACGAAGGGGGCUAGCGUUGCUCGGAAUCACUGGGCGUAAAGCGCACGUAGGCGGAUUGCUAAGUCAGGGGUGAAAUCCUGGAGCUCAACUCCAGAACUGCCUUUGAUACUGGAAAUCUUGAGUAUGGGAGUGGUGAGUGGAACUGCGAGUGUAGAGGUGAAAUUCGUAGAUAUUCGCAAGAACACCAGUGGCGAAGGCGGCUCACUGGCCCAUAACUGACGCUGAGGCACGAAAGCGUGGGGAGCAAACAGG